GACGAACCGUGCGAACGUUAUUCGGAAUCACUGGGCUUAAAGCGCGUGUAGGCGGGCCGGCACGUCGGUCGCUGAAAUCCCCCGGCUCAACCGGGGAACGGGCGCCGAUACGACCGGCCUGGAGGGGGGUAGGGGGCGCCGGAACUCACGGUGGAGCGGUGAAAUGCGUUGAGAUCGUGAGGAACGCCCGUGGCGAAAGCGGGCGCCUGGACCCCACCUGACGCUGAGACGCGAAAGCCAGGGGAGCGAACGGG
rnacentral:rRNA from 1 species